GGUUUUCCCAGGGCGAGG
rnacentral:piRNA from 1 species